UACGAAGGGGGCUAGCGUUGUUCGGAUUUACUGGGCGUAAAGCGCGUGUAGGCGGACUUGUAAGUUGGGGGUGAAAUCCCGAGGCUCAACCUCGGAACUGCCUCCAAAACUACAAGUCUGGAGCAAAGAUAGAGGCAAGUGGAAUUGCGAGUGUAGAGGUGAAAUUCGUAGAUAUUCGCAGGAACACCAGUGGCGAAGGCGACUUGCUGGAUCUUUGCUGACGCUGAGACGCGAAAGCGUGGGGAGCAAACAGG
rnacentral:rRNA from 1 species